rnacentral:rRNA from 1 species
UACGUAGGGACCAAGCGUUGUUCGGAUUUACUGGGCGUAAAGGGCGCGUAGGCGGCGUGACAAGUCACUUGUGAAAUCUCUGAGCUUAACUCAGAACGGCCAAGUGAAACUGUCAAGCUAGAGUGCAGAAGGGGCAAUCGGAAUUCUUGGUGUAGCGGUGAAAUGCGUAGAUAUCAGGAGGAAUACCGGUGGCGAAAGCGACUCUCUGGACGGCAACUGACGCUGAGGCACGAAAGCGUGGGGAGCAAACAGG